rnacentral:rRNA from 1 species
UUCGCCUUCAUGAAGCUGGAAUUGCUAGUAAUGGCAGGUCAGCAUACUGCCGUGAAUACGUUCCCGGGCCUUGUACACACCGCCCGUCACACCAUGAGAGUUGGAAAUACCCGAAGCCUGUGAGCUAACUGUAAAGAGGCAGCAGUCGAAGGUAGAGCCAAUGAUUGGGGUGAAGUCGUAACAAGGUAUC